rnacentral:rRNA from 1 species
CAGCCUGCCCAGUGACAAUAGUUUAACGGCCGCGGUAUUUUGACCGUGCAAAGGUAGCGCAAUCACUCGUCCUUUAAAUAGGGACCUGUAUGAAUGGCCAAACGAGGGCUUAACUGUCUCCCCCCUCUAGUCAGUGAAAUUGAUCUAUCCGUGCAGAAGCGGAUAUAAAAAUACAAGACGAGAAGACCCUUUGGAGCUUUAGGUACAAGAUUUAAAUCACACCAAAUAAACCAAUAAAAGUAAAUUAACCCAGUGAAAAAUAAACCUUUACCUUCGGUUGGGGCGACCACGGAGUAAAAAACAACCUCCAAGAGGAACGGGCACAGCCCUAAAACCAAGAGAAACAUCUCUAAGCCUCAGAACAUCUGACCAAAGACGAUCCGGUCUUUUAAACCGAUCAACGAACCAAGUUACCCUAGGGAUAACAGCGCAAUCCUCUCUAAGAGUCCAUAUCGACGAGGGGGUUUACGACCUCGAUGUUGGAUCAGGACAUCCUAAUGGUGCAGCCGCUAUUAAGGGUUCGUUUGUUCAACGAUUAACAGUCCUACGUGAUCUGAGUUCAGACCGGGA